rnacentral:rRNA from 1 species
CCUACGGGAGGCAGCAGUAAGGAAUAUUGGUCAAUGGAGGCAACUCUGAACCAGCCAUGCCGCGUGUAGGAAGACGGCCCUAUGGGUUGUAAACUGCUUUUGAACUAGAGAAAACCUUGGUACGUGUACCGAGUUGAUAGUAUAGUUAGAAUAAGCAUCGGCUAACUUCGUGCCAGCAGCCGCGGUAAGACGAAGGAUGCAAGCGUUAUCCGGAUUCAUUGGGUUUAAAGGGUGCGUAGGCGGACUGAUAAGUCAGUGGUGAAAUCUCUCAGCUUAACUGAGAAACUGCCAUUGAUACUGUUAGUCUAGAGUACAGAUGAUGUGGGCGGAAUAUGACAUGUAGUGGUGAAAUACUUAGAUAUGUCAUAGAACACCGAUUGCGAAGGCAGCUCACAAAACUGUAACUGACGCUGAGGCACGAAAGUGCGGGGAUCAAACAGGAUUAGAUACCCUGGUAGUCCGCACCGUAAACGAUGAUUACUCGUUGUUGGCGAUAUGACAGUCAGCGACCAAGCGAAAGCGAUAAGAAUCCACCUGGGGAGUACGCCGGCAACGGUGAAACUCAAAGAGUAGUUAGACGNGNGAGAGCGACGACGACGACGAGGAGGAGAG